GACGAACGCUGGCGGCGUGCUUAACACAUGCAAGUCGAACGAAGUGGCGCACGGGUGAGUAACGCGUAAUCAACCUGCCAUUCAGAGGGGGACAACAGUUGGAAACGACUGCUAAUACCGCAUACUGAAGGAGGGGAUUGCGUCUGAUUAGCUAGUUGGAGGGGUAACGGCCCACCAAGGCGAUGAUCAGUAGCCGGUCUGGAGGGAUGGACCGCCAGAAUGGGACUGGGGAACGGCCCAGGCUCCUACGGGAGGCAGCAGUGGGGAAUCUUCCGCAAUGGGCGGAAGUCUGACGGAGCAACGCCGCGGGAGUGGUGACGGGCUUCGGGUUGUAAAGCUCUGUUAAUCGGGGCGCGGUACCGGAAUAGAAAGCCACGGCUAACUACGUGCCAGCAGCCGCGGUAAUAC
rnacentral:rRNA from 1 species